rnacentral:lncRNA from 1 species
CAGAAAACACAUAGGCUUCCCUGUCUAUCAGACUAAGAUUUGAACCCUGAAGCUGCUGCCUACUGCUUGCGUGAUCUUGGUUUCACCUAUUCUCAAGCAACCUGGAGGUCCAUGGAUUGCAGCCAUCUGUGGGUGUUGUGGAGGCUGAGUCUGUGUCAUGCACCAUGAGGCUGGGUGCAGAAGGGAGUUGUUUUGCUGGAGAGGGAGGUUUUCUGACCUCUCAACGCCCACACCUCAACCCAUCAGAAGUCAUAACUCAAGAAAUGAUAACAGUCCAUCUCAGGUCAGCAGGGAACCUUCUCCCUGUCCUCCUCACGCUGGGCUAGUGCUGAUAGAGCUCCCACCAUCUGGAACGUUGCAGUUUGCUGUGGUAGGAGGGAGCAGACAAGGAAAUUUGCACAUCAGUAAAGGCUUCCACUCAAAAGUAACCUGUCACUUUCACUUACAUUUUAUUGGUCAAGGCAUUUUGUAUCUCAUCGAUAAAAAAAUCUGAAACAUUUAAAUAGCAGUAAGAGGCAGUAUAUACUCAAUGAGUAGGAUCAGUAAUGUAGAAGCUCAGAGAAGUGUUGAAGAAUUUGGAGAGGGUUUCAAGGAACAAGUGAGACUUGAAGGACAAGCAGACUAGUAGAGAGUAUAGAGCGGCUGUUUCAGGAUGGACUAUGUCCUGGGUACUCUGCUAGGCAUUGGAUCUAACUGAGCAAGGCCGGCUUGGUUCCUGCCCCUUCCAGAGGUUACAUUUUGGUAGAGGAGGCAGAUAGUAAAUUAGCUGUGAGCGAACAUCUGCCACCAAUCCUCCUCUUUUUGCUGAGGAGGACCGGCCCUGAGCUAACAUCCAUGCCCAUCUUCCUCUACUUUAUACAUGAGAUGCCUGCCAUGGCAUGGCUUGUGAAACAAGUGUAAGGUCUGCACUGGGGAUCCGAACCGGCAAACCCUGGGCCGCCGAAGUGGAAUGUGCGAACUUAACCAAUGAGCCACUGGGCUGGCCCCUGAGGAGAUUUCUAAGCAAAGUGUUGAAGGAGUGGCUUUGUUCCUCUUGAAUGCUUAUAGUAAAAUGUGAAAGGAAAGAGAUGAAAUGAAGAAGAGAUCGUUCAGCAAAAAGGAAACAGAACUUGAAGAUUUGGAAAAAUUCUCAGGCUGUCCAUAUUGCAAAAAGUGAAAAAGCUUGAGAAGAGAACUCUGAAAGUAUGGCUGAACAACCCUUUGAGGAAGAGAUCAUGGAUGUGACUCAUAGACUUAAUCAGGCAUUUCAACAGGAACCAGGAACAGAGAUGCAUUUAUACCAGCAAAUACACUGCCAGUUUGAACUAAAGGAGACCAAAAAAAAAAAGAGAGAGACAAAAAUGAAGGGAGACUGUCAGACUUCUCAGGUCCUAUAGGACUGGACCAUAGAGCUAUUGAGGUGUGAACAUGUUGUGUUCUUCAAGAAAAGGGAAGAAGGACUCUGAAGGUGAUUCAGAG